AGAGGGAUAGCUGGGUCAAAUGGUGGUUCCAUUCCCAAAUUUCCAAGGAAUCUCCAUAUUGCUUUCCAUAUUGGCUGUACCAAUUUGCAGUCCCACCAGCAAU
rnacentral:pre_miRNA from 1 species